rnacentral:rRNA from 1 species
GACGAACGCUGGCGGCGUGCCUAAUACAUGCAAGUAGAACGCUGAAGGAGGAGCUUGCUUCUCUGGAUGAGUUGCGAACGGGUGAGUAACGCGUAGGUAACCUGCCUGGUAGCGGGGGAUAACUAUUGGAAACGAUAGCUAAUACCGCAUAAGAGUAGAUGUCGCAUGACAUUUGCUUAAAAGGUGCAAUUGCAUCACUACCAGACGGACCUGCGUUGUAUUAGCUAGUUGGUGAGGUAACGGCUCACCAAGGCAACGAUACAUAGCCGACCUGAGAGGGUGAGCGGCCAGACUGGGACUGAGACACGGCCCAGAUGCCUACGGGAGGCAGCAGUAGGGAAUCUUCGGCAAUGGACGGAAGUCUGACCGAGCAACGCCGCGUGAGUGAAGAAGGUUUGCGGAUCGUAAAGCUCUGUUGUAAGAGAAGAACGAGUGUGAGAGUGGAAAGUUCACACUGUGACGGUAACUUACCAGAAAGGGACGGCUAACUACGUG